rnacentral:rRNA from 1 species
UACGAGGGGGGCAAGCGUUGUCCGGAUUUACUGGGCGUAAAGGAUGCGUAGGCGGAUGUUUAAGUGAGAUGUGAAAUACCCGAGCUCAACUUGGGUGCUGCAUUUCAAACUGGAUAUCUAGAGUGCAGGAGAGGAAAGCGGAAUUCCUAGUGUAGCGGUGAAAUGCGUAGAGAUUAGGAAGAACACCAGUGGCGAAGGCGGCUUUCUGGACUGUAACUGACGCUGAGGCAUGAAAGCGUGGGGAGCAAAC